AAAACUUUCAACAACGGAUCUCUUGGUUCUCGCAUCGAUGAAGGACGCAGCGAAUUGCGAUAAGUAUUGUGAAUUGCAGAUUUUCGUGAAUCAUCGAAUCUUUGAACGCACAUUGCGUCCUCCGGUAUUCCGGAGGGCAUGCCUGUUUGAGCGUCAU
rnacentral:rRNA from 1 species